rnacentral:rRNA from 1 species
UACGUAGGGCGCAAGCGUUGUCCGGAAUUAUUGGGCGUAAAGAGCUCGUAGGCGGUCUGUCGCGUCCGUUGUGAAAACUCGAGGCUCAACCUCGGGCUUGCAGUGGAUACGGGCAGACUAGAGUGCGGUAGGGGAGACUGGAAUUCCUGGUGUAGCGGUGAAAUGCGCAGAUAUCAGGAGGAACACCGGUGGCGAAGGCGGGUCUCUGGGCCGGAACUGACGCUGAGGCGCGAAAGCGUGGGGAGCAAACAGG